rnacentral:SRP_RNA from 1 species
CGGCUGUAGCGGUCAUUCUCAUCUGAGAGGUGCAUUGAAACCACAACUUCUUUCCCUUCCAAAUGCUGAAACGAGGGCCCAGUUCGAAUCCGGUGGUGCCCGACCAACUCGUAUAGGUAACUUGCGAUGAAGGCGGGCUUAAGCAAUGAAGUCGACCGUUGAGGGAAGCAAUUCUGCAGACACGACUUCACCAUUGGAUGGCGGUGCUGGAAUACCCUCGCUUCGGUUUGGGAUAGGUGUUGUGGACUGAUGAAUCAACCAGGUAUU